GAGUUUGAUCAUGGCUCAGGAUGAACGCUAGCGGCAGGCUUAACACAUGCAAGUCGAGGGGUAUAGUUCUUCGGAAUUAGAGACCGGCGCACGGGUGCGUAACGCGUAUGCAAUCUACCUUUCACAGAGGGAUAGCCCAGAGAAAUUUGGAUUAAUACCUCAUAGUAUAACGACUCUGCAUGGAGAUGUUAUUAAAGUCACAACGGUGAAAGAUGAGCAUGCGUCCCAUUAGCUAGUUGGUAAGGUAACGGCUUACCAAGGCUACGAUGGGUAGGGGUCCUGAGAGGGAGAUCCCCCACACUGGUACUGAGACACGGACCAGACUCCUACGGGAGGCAGCAGUGAGGAAUAUUGGACAAUGGGCGCAAGCCUGAUCCAGCCAUGCCGCGUGCAGGAUGACGGCCCUAUGGAUUGUAAACUGCUUUUGCACAGGAAGAAACAACGCUACGUGUAGCGUCUUGACGGUACUGUGAGAAUAAGGAUCGGCUAACUCCGUGCCAGCAGCCGCGGUAAUACGGAGGAUCCAAGCGUUAUCCGGAAUCAUUGGGUUUAAAGGGUCCGUAGGCGGUUUAGUAAGUCAGCGGUGAAAGCCCAUCGCUCAACGGUGGAACGGCCAUUGAUACUGCUAGACUUGAAUUAUUAGGAAGUACUAGAAUAUGUAGUGUAGCGG
rnacentral:rRNA from 1 species